AUACUUGCCUGGUAGGGAGGAUGCCAUAAUCCUGAAGGUAUCUUUUUAUGGGCAAGGCUUAUCCAUUGCACUACAGAUAUGCUAAUUCAUGCAGUUUCCCUCAUUGCUGGAAACUGCAUAAUUUGUGGUAGUGAGGACUAUGUUCUUACUCUCUCAAU
rfam:Erinaceus europaeus unplaced genomic scaffold scaffold00051, whole genome shotgun sequence